CCUCCCUCUGUUCUCUCUCUCUCCC
rnacentral:miRNA from 1 species